CAGCCGCCGCGGGAAUACGGAGGGUGCAAGCGUUAAUCGGAAUUACUGGGCGUAAAGCGCACGCAGGCGGUCUGUCAAGUCAGAUGUGAAAUCCCCGGGCUUAACCUGGGAACUGCAUUUGAAACUGGCAGGCUAGAGUCUUGUAGAGGGGGGUAGAAUUCCAGGUGUAGCGGUGAAAUGCGUAGAGAUCUGGAGGAAUACCGGUGGCGAAGGCGGCCCCCUGGACAAAGACUGACGCUCAGGUGCGAAAGCGUGGGGAGCAAACAGGAUUAGAUACCCGCGUAGUCCCUGUCUCUUAUAA
rnacentral:rRNA from 1 species